GGAGGGUUAGCUCAGUUGGUAGAGCAAGAGACUCUUAAUCUCUUGGUCCGGGGUUCGAGCCCCCGACCCUUCACCA
rnacentral:tRNA from 1 species